UACAGAGGUCUCAAGCGUUUGUUCGGAUUCAUUGGGCGUAAAGGGUGCGUAGGUGGCGCUGUAAGUCGGGUGUGAAAUUUCGGAGCUUAACUCCGAAACUGCAUUCGAUACUGCGGUGCUUGAGGACUGGAGAGGAGACUGGAAUUCAUGGUGUAGCAGUGAAAUGCGUAGAGAUCAUGAGGAAGACCAGUGGCGAAGGCGGGUCGUCUGGACAGUUCCUGACACUGAGGCACGAAGGCCAGGGGAGCAAACGGG
rnacentral:rRNA from 1 species